rnacentral:rRNA from 1 species
AAAUAAGCGGAGGAARAGAKACCARCAGGGAUUGCCCUUMGUUAACGGCGAAGUGAAGMGKCAACAGCUCAAAUUUGAAAUCUCGGCCUUCGGGUCCGAAGUUGUAAUUUGUAGAGGAUGCUUUUGGCGCGGUGCCUUCCGAGUUCCCUGGAACGGGACGCCUUAGAGGGUGAGAGCCCCGUACGGUUGGACACCAAGCCUCUGUAAAGCUCMUUCGWCGAGUCGAGUAGUUUGGGAAUGSUGCUCUAAAUGGGAGGUAAAUUUCUUCUAWAGCUAAAUAUUGGCCAGAGACCGAUAGCGCACAAGUAGAGUGAUCGAAAGAUGAAAAGCACUUUGAAAAGAGGGUUAAAUAGCACGUGAAAUUGUUGAAAGGGAAGMGUUUGCGACCAGACCUUUUCCUGGCGGAUCAUCCGGUGUUCUCACCGGUSCACUUCGCUAGGUUGAGGCCAGCAUCGGUUUCCGUAGGGGGAUAAAAGCUUGGGGAACGUAGCUCCUCCGGGAGUGUUAUAGCCCCUUGCAUAAUACCCUUACGGGGACCGAGGMCCGCGCUUSGGCAAGGAUGCWGGCGUAAUGGUCGUCAACGACCCGUCUUGAAACACGGACCAAGGAGUSGAACAUUUGUGYGAGUGUKUGGGUGUCAAACCCUCMCGCGUAAUGAAAGUGAACGGAGGUGAGAGCCCUUWYGGGUGCAUCAUCGACCGAUCCUGAUGUCUUCGGAUGGAUUUGAGUAAGAGCAUAACUGUUSGGACCCGAAAGAUGGUGAACUAUGCGUGGAUAGGGUGAAGCCAGAGGAAACUCUGGUGGAGGCUCGCAGCGGUUCUGACGUGCAAAUCGAUCGUCAAAUCUUGCGCAUGGGGGGCGAAAGACUUAUCGAACCAUCCAGUAGCUGGUACCGCG